rnacentral:rRNA from 1 species
AUUGAACGCUGGCGGCAGGCCUAACACAUGCAAGUCGAACGCGUGGCGGACGUGUGAGUAAUGUCUGGGAAACUGCCUGAUGGAGGAGGAUAACUACUGGAAACGGUAGCUAAUACCGCAUAACAUCAGAUGUGCCCAAAGGGGAUUAGCUGGUUGGUGGGGUAACGGUACACCAAGGCGACGAUCACUCGCUGGUCUGAGAGGAUGACCCGCCACACUGGAACGGAGACACGGCCCAUCCUCCUACGGGAGGCAGCAGUGGGGAAUAUUGCACAAUGGGCGCAAGCCUGAUGCAGCCAUGCCGCGUGUAUGAAGAAGGCCUUCGGGUUGUAAAGUACUUUCAGCGGGGAGGCGUUACCCGCAGAAGAAGCACCGGCUAACUCCGUGCCAGCCGCCGCGGUAAUAC